rnacentral:rRNA from 1 species
UACGAAGGGUGCAAACGUUGCUCGGAAUCAUUGGGCGUAAAGCGCACGUAGGCGGCUUGGCAAGUCGGAUGUGAAAGCCCUCGGCUCAACCAAGGAAGUGCAUCCGAAACUGCUGAGCUUGAGUACUUAAGAGGAUCGCGGAAUUCCCGGUGUAGAGGUGAAAUUCGUAGAUAUCGGGAGGAACACCAGUGGCGAAGGCGGCGAUCUGGGAAGAUACUGACGCUGAGGUGCGAAAGCGUGGGGAGCAAACAGG